UUUGAGGCACAAAGGAGAAACACUUGGUGCUUCAAAAGGGCCUGUGAGGUUGUGGGAGAUGGUGACAGAGUGUAUUUGCUUUGGAUCCUUUUGUUUCUCCCUGCAAGGUGUGGAAUUUAUAAUUUAAUGGGAAAGUCAAGUUGUUUAAUGGCUUAAACCAUGUCAUCAACAGGGAGAGAAUAUGAACUUUAAAGAAAACACACAUGCAAAGUUGGAACCACAUGUAUAGAAAAGGAGGUAACUUAAUCAAAUAAAUUGACUGUCAGAGGGAGUUAAAAUUCAUCCCCGAUUUUUUUAUUUCUGCUAGCAGGGGUUCUGGGCCAUGUUUUUAAAACAGCGGUUUGAAGUAAUAAUGGCAGUAGAAGUACCAGCAUCUAUAGCCCUGAGAAUGGGGAGAAAGGGUAAAGUAUGGGGAUGCUCUUACCUGAAAGAGAGGGCAAGAGGGUGAUGUGUUCCGUGAUACCUUAAGGCUGAGAAAACUGAGAAAAAUUUGCUUGCAAGGAGGUGAGUAGUCUCUCUGCUUUCUGCACUCUGACCUUCCAUUGUCCCUUGCAGAGCAUUUGAAAGGAUUGUGCAGUUCUCUUGAUCUAUUUAAGAGAAAGAAACUGUGUCAAAUCUCUCCAUUCCCCAGCCAGCUGUCUUUCAGAUCACAUCUAUAUUACGGGAAGGCAAAGUAUCUGUUUCACUGCUGGUCAACUUGGCAGCCAGAAGAAUCCAUGAAGUGCUCAGGCUGUAGAAUGAAGAAGCUGGAAGAAUUAACCAGUUCCUGUUGCUGCAGAGGUUUUCUGCUCCCAAAGUACUAGUAAGAGAUGAAGAGGUAUUUAUUAUUGACAGACACAUAUAUAAAAACCCCUCAGUUUCUCAAACCCAGCAGCAGCCUAUCACCAACAGAUGCAACUCAAUGACUUUGUCAGGUUUUUGUCCCUUCAAAAAGCUAUUUCUGCAGGCUGUGGGAGUGCCUCAGGAAGGAAAGUAACGAAGCUAUUGUAAAUAUAUAUGCCUAAAUGUGAAUAUGAAUUAAGGUGUGAUUGAAUAAG
rnacentral:lncRNA from 1 species